CUUCUUUGAUAAAUUCUGCAGGUUCAAUGGUUAGAGUAUUCACAAGCCUCCAAGAAAAUGCACCAAAAAGCGUUGUAAUGGGUUCCGCAAUUGGUGUUGAUACAAAUUUCACCAUCCUAAGCCAGAUAUUGUUCUACCAAAAGCCAAGGGUCACUGAGAAAGAGAAGAAAACGAAAUAGAAGAACUAUACAAAGUCAUGUAUACUGCUACUUCCGAGUUCCUCGUGUUCAUCUUUCAACAGGUGCUACGUCAUUGAAGCCAUACUCAAACUUUUAUCACUGUUGAAUUGACCCUUUUGAACAUUUACCUUUUUUCAACUGCUGAUUCUUAAGGUA